AUAACAAGGCGGGCUGGACACCCCCAGCCGGGCACUGCUUCACGGCGUGCGCGGCUGGGCCGGCCCUGCUGAAUUAUUCACCCGUGUCUUUUGCGUACUUCUUGUUUCCUGGGUGGGCUCGCCCGCCAUCAGGACCAACCACAAACCUUUUGCAAUAGCAAUCAGCGUCAGUAACAACGUAAUUAAUUACAACUUUCAACAACGGAUCUCUUGGUUCUGGCAUCGAUGAAGAACGCAGCGAAAUGCGAUACGUAGUGUGAAUUGCAGAAUUCAGUGAAUCAUCGAAUCUUUGAACGCACAUUGCGCCCUUUGGUAUUCCAAAGGGCAUGCCUGUUCGAGCGUCAUUUGUACCCUCAAGCUUUGCUUGGUGUUGGGCGUCUUUUGUCUCCAGUUCGCUGGAGACUCGCCUUAAAGUCAUUGGCAGCCGGCCUACUGGUUUCGGAGCGCAGCACAAGUCGCGCUCUUUGCCAGCCAAGGUCAGCGUCCAGCAAGCCUUUUUUUUCAACCUUUGACCUCGGAUCAGGUAGGGAUACCCGCUGAACUUAAGCAUAU
rnacentral:rRNA from 1 species